CGUUGUAAUUUGUAGAGGAUGCUUUUGGCAAGGUGCCGCCCGAGUUCCCUGGAACGGGACGCCACAGAGGGUGAGAGCCCCGUCUGGCUGGCCACCGAGCCUCUGUAAAGCUCCUUCGACGAGUCGAGUAGUUUGGGAAUGCUGCUCAAAAUGGGAGGUAUAUGUCUUCUAAAGCUAAAUAUUGGCCAGAGACCGAUAGCGCACAAGUAGAGUGAUCGAAAGAUGAAAAGUACCUUGAAAAGAGGGUUAAAUANUACGUGAAAUUGUUGAAAGGGAAGCGCUUGUGACCAGACUUGGGCGCGGCGGAUCAUCCGGGGUUCUCCCCGGUGCACUUCGNCGUGUCCAGGCCAGCAUCAGUUCNUCGCGGGGGAAAAAGGCUUCGGGAACGUGGCUCCCCUGGGAGUGUUAUAGCC
rnacentral:rRNA from 1 species